UACAGAGGUGGCAAGCGUUGUUCGGAAUUACUGGGCGUAAAGGGCGCGUAGGCGGCCUUGUAAGUCCUGUGUGAAAUCCCCCGGCUCAACUGGGGAACUGCACAGGAGACUGCUUGGCUUGAGUUCGGGAGAGGGAAGCGGAAUUCCGGGUGUAGCGGUGAAAUGCGUAGAUAUCCGGAGGAACACCCGUGGCGAAAGCGACGCACUGGACCUCUUCUGACGCUGAGGCGCGAAAGCUAGGGUAGCGAACGGG
rnacentral:rRNA from 1 species